rnacentral:rRNA from 1 species
GCUACAGGCUUAACACAUGCAAGUCGAGGGGCAUCAGGAAGAAAGCUUGCUUUCUUUGCUGGCGACCGGCGCACGGGUGAGUAACACGUAUCCAACCUGCCCUUUACUCGGGGAUAGCCUUUCGAAAGAAAGAUUAAUACCCGAUGGCAUAAUGAUUCCGCAUGGUUUCAUUAUUAAAGGAUUCCGGUAAAGGAUGGGGAUGCGUUCCAUUAGGUUGUUGGUGAGGUAACGGCUCACCAAGCCUUCGAUGGAUAGGGGUUCUGAGAGGAAGGUCCCCCACAUUGGAACUGAGACACGGUCCAAACUCCUACGGGAGGCAGCAGUGAGGAAUAUUGGUCAAUGGGCGCUAGCCUGAACCAGCCAAGUAGCGUGAAGGAUGAAGGCUCUAUGGGUCGUAAACUUCUUUUAUAUAAGAAUAAAGUGCAGUAUGUAUACUGUUUUGUAUGUAUUAUAUGAAUAAGGAUCGGCUAACUCCGUGCCAGCAGCCGCGGUAAUACGGAGGAUCCGAGCGUUAUCCGGAUUUAUUGGGUUUAAAGGGAGCGUAGGUGGACUGGUAAGUCAGUUGUGAAAGUUUGCGGCUCAACCGUAAAAUUGCAGUUGAUACUGUCAGUCUUGAGUACAGUAGAGGUGGGCGGAAUUCGUGGUGUAGCGGUGAAAUGCUUAGAUAUCACGAAGAACUCCGAUUGCGAAGGCAGCUCACUGGACUGCAACUGACACUGAUGCUCGAAAGUGUGGGUAUCAAACAGGAUUAGAUACCCUGGUAGUCCACACAGUAAACGAUGAAUACUCGCUGUUUGCGAUAUACAGUAAGCGGCCAAGCGAAAGCAUUAAGUAUUCCACCUGGGGAGUACGCCGGCAACGGUGAAACUCAAAGGAAUUGACGGGGGCCCGCACAAGCGGAGGAACAUGUGGUUUAAUUCGAUGAUACGCGAGGAACCUUACCCGGGCUUAAAUUGCAGUGGAAUGAUGUGGAAACAUGUCAGUGAGCAAUCACCGCUGUGAAGGUGCUGCAUGGUUGUCGUCAGCUCGUGCCGUGAGGUGUCGGCUUAAGUGCCAUAACGAGCGCAACCCUUAUCUUUAGUUACUAACAGGUUAUGCUGAGGACUCUAGAGAGACUGCCGUCGUAAGAUGUGAGGAAGGUGGGGAUGACGUCAAAUCAGCACGGCCCUUACGUCCGGGGCUACACACGUGUUACAAUGGGGGGUACAGAAGGCAGCUAGCGGGUGACCGUAUGCUAAUCCCAAAAGCCUCUCUCAGUUCGGAUCGAAGUCUGCAACCCGACUUCGUGAAGCUGGAUUCGCUAGUAAUCGCGCAUCAGCCACGGCGCGGUGAAUACGUUCCCGGGCCUUGUACACACCGCCCGUCAAGCCAUGGGAGCCGGGGGUACCUGAAGUACGUAACCGCAAGGAUCGUCCUAGGGUAAAACUGGUGACUGGGGCUAAGU